AGGCAGACAAGAUAGGCUGUAUUGUCGCUAAUUUACAGAUGAAGAAAUGGAGAUGAGAGAAGAUAAAUGACUUUCUCAACUUCCCAGAGCCAGCAUGAGAAGCCACAUCUUGUGAAUAACUGACUCUCUCCACUACAUCUUCUUCUCUGCUACGUAUUCAAUGUCAGGGGUCUCAGCCCCUACCCCCAAGAGAGACAAGGUUUUGGUGAAUGUGAGGCAAAAAUGCCAUUCUCUGGAUGUGCUCAUAGGACAGAUUAAAUACUACUAUUCCAAUUGCUGAACAGAGGAACUAGAAACAAAGAACAUCUAAAAUGAGCAAAACAGAUAAGCUUUGUAUAGGAGAUCCCCAGAGCCAACCAAAGCUUGGGUAAAAGGAGAUACUACCUGGCUCUGCCAGGUAUUCAAUAUAGAAGUCCUCAGACUCUCUCCUCUCUGCUCAUAGACCACCCUCAGUUUCUCCCAAUUGAAGUGUGUAAGAAUGAACUGGGGCCUACCUUGCCUCCAUUGGCCUUGAACCUUCAGGGUCCCGGUUUCUUCUGCAUGUAGAUCAUUUCCUAGGAACUGCUCUGCCUCCUGAGCCCCAGAUACAGUAUUUCUUGGGAUGAUCAACGUUCAUACAGAUCAGCACUGCUCCUGCCACCAAAAU
rnacentral:lncRNA from 1 species